rfam:Podospora anserina genomic DNA, chromosome 7.
GCGGGUUUAGCUCAGUUGGGAGAGCGUCAGACUGAAGUCCACUUCAAUCAUUAAUCUGAAGGUCAUGUGUUCGAUCCACAUAAACCGCA